AAGUUUGGUGACACUGUUGGAUUAAGAGUGAAGAAUGAUAGUUUAGCAUUUUGGGGAUAUUAUUCCAUUCAAAUUAGUUUUUUCAAAUUACAGGAGAUGUAGGAGGUAUAUUAUGAAUUGUUUUCUUGGUUUUAGAACUUUAUUAUUGUGUCCAGUUAGUACAAAUUAUUUAAAUAUGCCUUGCUAACUUCAGUAGCUAGCUAGCUACCAGCGCGAGUGUGUAGUUUUCUCUGCCAGAAUGGUAGAAUGGCCAAUGCUGCCGAAAAUGUUGUGGACUUUUUGUUGAAGAACCCCUUACAUUUUCUGGGGUACAUGGAAAAGUUGCGAAUUAAAUGCAGGGGUCGACCUCUGCCUGAGCUCAGUUUCAUGAAGAAGGAUGAAAAGUUGAGGGCGUUCAAUACCAACUGGUAUCAAAAGUAUAUCUGGUUAACAGGGAACUUUCAUCAAGCCGCCUUUAUUGCUGACCUUACCUGCUUUUGGAAAGUCUGAGACUUGGUGGAAAGGUGGGUACAGUGACCUGAAGAACAUUGAUCGUUCAGCUAAAUGGCAAAACAAAAGCAGGGAGCAUAUACAUGCCCACAUCAGAUUCAAGCUUCAGGGAAAAAAACUGCAUAGAUUAUGAUGAAGGUCUGCGUAUUCAAACUGUGCAACACAACCAGAAAGUAAGAAGAAACAGGGAUGUUAUCAAGCUGCUUAUCAACACAACUGCGUUUUUGGGCAUGCAAUAAUUUACUUUUAGAGGACACGACGAGAGGGAAAGUUCCACCAACAAGGGCAACUACAAGGAGCUUGCAGAGCUAAGUCCCCUCCUGUUCCCUGAUUUAAGAGGUGAUGACUACUCCACUUCACUACCAUAGUCAACUUUCUCCUGACAAUAACUGAAGACCCUUCUCAUGUGGACGCUCAUCCACUGGCACAUUGAAUGUUUCCCCUCCAAGCACUUCAAAUCCUGUCCUGCACUGGUCAAGCCUCUGAACACCUCAACCCAUGCCUCAUACCUCAUUCAAUCCCUGCUGUGUACCCUUUCCAACACUUUGUAGCCCUCUCAUUCCCAUUCCCCAUAAUAUUGUACCAUAAAUGACUUUAUUAAAUGCUUUAGGUUAAAAUAAUUAUUCUUUGACAAUUUUUGAAAACACACUUUGUUGUCUCCGUGCAUUCUGCGCCUAUACCGUGGGUCUCCCAUCCUCCUCAAUUAUUAAAGUCAGCAGCCUCCACUGCUAUGAACAGAGGUCCUCAUAAGAAAGUGGAACCAAACCGCCUAUGUUGACAGCCAGGUCUCACGUGACAUUGUAAAUGUGAAUUCGGUAUUUACAGUUGAAGUCGGAAGUUUACAUACACCUUAGCCAAAUACAUUUAAACUCAGUUUCACAAUUCCAGACAUUUAAUCCUAGUAAAAAUGUGCUUUCUUAGUUAGGAUCACCACUCUAUUUUAAGAAUGUGAAAUGUCAAAAUAAUAGUAGAGAGAAUGAUUUAUUUCAGCUUUGAUUUCUUUCAUCACAUUCCCAGUGGGUCAGAAGAUGACAUAUGCUCAAUUAGUAUUUCGUAGCAUUGAUUUUAAAUUGUUUAACUUGGGUCAAACGUUUUGGGUAGCCUUCCACAAGCUUCCCACAAUGAGUUGGGUGAAUUUUGGCCCAUUCCUCCUGACAGAGCUGGUGUAACUGAGUCAGGUUUGUAGGCCUCCUUGCUCACACACACUUUUUCAAUUCUGUCCACAAAUUUUCUAUAGUAUUGAGGUCAGGGAUUUGUGAUGACCACUCCAAUACCUUGACUUUGUUGUCCUUAAGCCAUUUUGCCACAACUUUGGAAGUAUGCUUGGGGUCAUUGUCCAUUUGGAAGACCCAUUUGCAACCAAGCUUUAACUUCCUGACUGAUGUCUUGAGAUGUUGCUUCAAUAUAUCCACAUAAUUUUCCUCCCUCAUGAUGUCAUCUAUUUUGUGAAGUGCACCAGUCCCUCCUGCAGCAAAGCACCCCCACAACAUGAUGCUGCCACCCUGUGCUUCACAGUUGGAAUGGUGUUCUUCGGCUUGCAAGCAUCCCCCUUUUUCCUCCAAACAUAACAAUGGUCAUUAUGGCCAAACAGUUCUAUUUUUGGUUCAUCAAACCAGAGGACAUUUCUCCAAAAAAUUAUGAUCUUUGUCCCCAUGUGCAGUUGCAAACCGUAGUCUGGCUUUUUUAUAGCAGUUUUGGAGCAGUGGCUUCUUCCUUGCUGAAUGGCCUUUCAGGUUAUGUCGAUAUAGGACUCGUUUUACUGUGGAUAUAGAUACGUUUGUACCUGUUUCCUCCAGCAUCUUCACAAGGUCCUUUGCUGUUGUUCUGGGAUUGACUUGCACUUUUCGCACCAAGGUAUGUUCAUCUCUAGGAGACAGAGCGCGUCUCCUUCCUGAGCGGUAUGACGACUGCGUGGUCCCAUGGUGUUUAUACUUGCAUACUAUUGUUUGUACAGAUGAAUGUGGUACCUUCAGGCAUUUGGAAAUUGCUCCCAAGGAUGAACCAGACUUGUGGAGGUCUACAAUCUUUUUUCUGAGGUCUUUGCUGAUUUCUUUUGAUUUUCCUAUGAUGUCAAGCAAAGAGGCACUGAGUUUGAAGGUAGGCCUUGAAAUACAUCUACAGGUACACCUCCAAUUGACUCAAAAGAUGUCAAUUAGAAUUAGAAUAUCAGAAGCUUCUAAAGCCAUGACAUCAUUUUCUGGAUUUUUCCAAGCUGUUUAAAGGCAAAGUCAACUUAGUGUUGACUGUGAACUUCUGACCCACUGGAAUUGUGAUACAGUGAGUGAAAUAAUUUGUCUGUAAACAAUUGUUGGAAAAUUUACUUGUGGCAUGUACAAAGUAGAUGUCCAAACCAACUUGCCAAAACUAUAGUUUGUUAACAAGAAAUCUGUGGAGUGGUUGAAAAACGAGUUUUAAUGACUCCAACCUAAGUGUAUGUAAACUUCCGACUUCAACUGUACAUACAAAAUAAUACGAAAAUGCUCUGAGACCAGGUUGACGGGGAAGGAUAAGGAAUGUCCCUUGCUUCAGCUUCAAUUCCAUGUGAUAGUUUUUUUUGUCUUUCUCCCAAAUAUUUUACUCCACUGUCUACAGAAAGGAACAAACGAUGGAAAGACUAUUGUGAAAUGAUCUGAACAAAAAGCAGUCAAGCAGUCAGUCUGACAAACAAACACACACACACUAGACGAUAGAUUCGAGGAGAAAACCACCAAAAAUCCCUUCAGAACUUCACAGUCUGUCUUUUGUCAGGCUAUCUAGCGCUGCAAUCACACUAUGUGAACGCACGCUGAUGCCCCUCAGUAGGCCUCUGCUGCAUAUCUGUCUGCCUGUCCAUCUGUCACGGCUGAGUCUAAUAUGACAGCCUCUGCCUGUGUGUCUGAGAGCGUUAAAGCACAGUGGAAUCUGACAACACAAAGCAGCAAGAGCUCUAAAAUAACGAUGAAAGCUCUACUCUGUACCCAUUGUUUUAAUAAAGCUCUACUCUAUAACCAUUGUUUUAAUAAAGCUCUACUCUAUAACCAUUGUUUUAAUCGAGCUCUACUCUAUAACCAUUGUUUUUAAUAAAGCUCUACUUUAUAACCAUUGUUUUAAUAAAGCUCUACUCUAUAGCCAUUGUUUUAAUAAAGCUAUACUCUAUAACCAUUGUUUUAAUAAAGCUCUACUCUAUAGCCAUUGUUUUUAAUAAAGCUCUACUCUAUAACCAUUGUUUUAAUAAAGCUCUACUCUCCUGUGA